AGCGCACUUGACGUGGACCAGAGAAGCACUAUUUCGAUUUUAGUCAGUUCCUUUUCGUCUUUCGCAUCGUUCGCACCGCACACGGGAAAUAUUACCAACCUCCGUCAUGUUGUUGAAGCCUUAUCAGUUGGCCAUAGCCAUAGCUCUUUUCUUGGCCUGCUUCAGUCCCGAAGUAAGUUGCUUUGCUCGGAACUUUGGCCGUCCGAAUGCAACGUACUAUGCGCCGGCCCAGACUUAUCCGGGACAUAACUAUACAAGGCCGAACAUUGGCUUCCAGCAGCACUAUCCAGCUCAGCCCGCUUACAAUUCGGGACCGAAUCCCAUCUACGGCAAUCGUCCUGGAAAUUAUUCUCUUCAUGGUGGCUAUCGUCCCCGCAACAAUACCAACAUUUUCGCAAGACUUUUCAAGUUCUGUCUUUGUCUCUGCUGCCUGUAGAUCGAUCACCAGCUAGAAGCGUCGAGAACGACACCCAUAUGAGAGUACAUCAAAAUGUCAUAGGAGAUGAACCGCCUUACACAAGCACUCAACUGGACUGGAGUUGGUAGUAGUUCUCCUGGUAGUGCUCUCCUGGUAGUGCUCCCCUGGUAGUGCUCUCCUGCUCUUUGUCUGGCCUGCUUCAGUCCCGAAGUAAGUUCCCGUCGUAUCCAGUCUUCGCAUCGUCGAACGCACUAUACCAACAAUUAUACAGCUGGAUGGAACUAUACCAGCCACAACAUUAGUUACCAGAACCACCAUCUAGCUAAGCCCGCUUACAAUUCGGGACCGAAUCUCAUCUACGGCAAUCAUACUGGAAAUUAUUCGCUUCAUGGGGGCUAUCGUCCCCACAACAACACUAGCUUCCCAACAUACUAUCCAGCUAAGUACGAUUACAUGCCGAAUCCCAUCCACGGCAAUCAUACUGGAAAUUAUUCGCUUCAUGGGGGCGACCAUCCCCACAACAUUAGCUUCCCAACAUACUAUCCAGCUAAUCCCAUCCACGGCAAUCAUACUGGAAAUUAUACGCUUCAUGGGGGCGACCAUCCCCACAACAACAUUAGCUUCCCAACAUACUAUCCAGCGAAUCCCAUCCACGGCAAUCAUACUGGAAAUUAUUCGCUUCCCCACAACAGCACCAACAUUUUUGCCAGACUUUUCAAGCUCUGGUAGAAGCUAAACUAUCCUACAAUCUGAAAUUAAAAUCAUCUUUAAAUUCGCCGAAAAUAACAAGUCAAGGUUGAGUUCAUUUUUUCAAAAAACAUUUAUUCAGCAGAUAAUCCGCAAGUGAUCACGGGAUUAUCUUGAUCAUCGUAUUAAAUGGCUUGCUUUCCGGUAUUCCAGGAACGUAUCGCAUAUAUAUUAUAUAUAUAUAGCGUAUAUAGAUUUGAUAUAUAGAGUAAAUGCAGAAAUGAUGAUUGGCUCCAUUUAUGGGGGUUGUUAAGUCAAGGGUGCGGUGGAGAAUUGUCAAUGUUAAUUAAAUAUAUAUACUGGGAGACGGCGAUUACGAACAAAUCUGAUUUUGAAUCUACAUAGAUGCCAGAUGUCCGCAAUACACGGUAUUUUAGAAUGUAUAUCAGGGUAUAUCAGCUUUGAACGUAUGAUUAUUAUUAUAGCAUUUGCAGCAUUAGCUUCUUGCCGUCUGUUGCUUUGUAGGAGGAAUACCGACGAUGAUCAAAGAAACGAAGCAAACAAAAACCCGAUGAGGCUCCCGCGCCGCAGUCCGGUAAAAUCCCACGCCGCCGUCAGAAACUCCCACGCCGCAGUCCAAGUGCUCCCACGCCGCCGUCAAGUGAAUUCCCACGCCGCAGUCAAGUGUGGUCCCUCGCCGCUGUCCCAAAAAGAGAAUUUCCCACGCCGCAGUCGUCCAUCCGCUAGAUCUCCCUCGCCGUCAGUCCCAUCAGCCCGGUCCGCUCCAGUCCAGAGGGGUUUUAGGUUCUCCCUCGCCGCAGUCGAUUCGGUAUCCCACGUUGCCGAUGCCUAUAGAGUAGAAGCGUUGUCCCUAGCGCCCUCGCCUAACCGAAGCCCUAAUAUAAAUCCCACGUUGCGCAACAUGCGAAUCCCUCGCUGCCGUCUCAUCUCCAUGGUUAUGGUAUUGCAUCCAGCGCCGCCGUCCACUUUUAGUGGUGUCCCACGCUGCCGUCAAUUCGAGGUAUCCCACGCUGCCGUCCUUACUUGGUUAUCCCACGCUGCCGUCAAAGCGAAAAUGCGUUACCGAAAAAUGUUGCGACAAAACUGCGACAAUAAGCGAGAUCCUUCAAGGAAAUUCCCAUUCAUUCAAUCCUAAGCGCCACUCAGAAACGGAAGAUGAAUA